UACGAAGGGGGCUAGCGUUGUUCGGAAUUACUGGGCGUAAAGCGUACGUAGGCGGAUCUUUAAGUCAGGGGUGAAAUCCUGGAGCUCAACUCCAGAACUGCCUUUGAUACUGAGGACCUUGAGUUCGGGAGAGGUGAGUGGAACUGCGAGUGUAGAGGCGAAAUUCGUAGAUAUUCGCAAGAACACCAGUGGCGAAGGCGGCUCACUGGCCCGAUACUGACGCUGAGGUGCGAAAGCGUGGGGAGCAAACAGG
rnacentral:rRNA from 1 species